CUGAAACCCGCCUCCAUGAAGUUGGAUUCGCUAGUAAUCGCGCAUCAGCCAUGGCGCGGUGAAUACGUUCCCGGGCCUUGUACACACCGCCCGUCACACCAUGGGAGUUUGUAACGCCCAAAGUCGGUGGCCUAACCUUUAUGGAGGGAGCCGCCUAAGGCGGGACAGAUGACUGGGGUGAAGUCGUAACAAGGUACC
rnacentral:rRNA from 1 species